UAAGGAAUAUUGGUCAAUGGACGAAAGUCUGAACCAGCCAUGCCGCGUGAAGGAUGAAGGCCCUCUGGGUUGUAAACUUCUUUUAUCUGGGACGAAAAAAGCUCAUUCUUGAGCACUUGACGGUACCAGAGGAAUAAGCACCGGCUAACUCCGUGCCAGCAGCCGCGGUAAUACGGAGGGUGCAAGCGUUAUCCGGAUUUACUGGGUUUAAAGGGUGCGUAGGUGGGUAAGUAAGUCAGUGGUGAAAUCUCCGAGCUUAACUCGGAAACUGCCAUUGAUACUAUUUAUCUUGAAUUUUCUGGAGGUGAGCGGAAUAUGUCAUGUAGCGGUGAAAUGCUUAGAUAUGACAUAGAACACCAAUUGCGAAGGCAGCUCACUACGGGAACAUUGACACUGAGGCACGAAAGCGUGGGGAUCAAACAGGAUUAGAUACCCGCGUAGUCC
rnacentral:rRNA from 1 species